rnacentral:rRNA from 1 species
GUACCUCUGGUGUACCAGUUGUCCUGCCAAGGGCAUGGCUGGGUAGCUAUGUACGGAAUGGAUAAGCGCUGAAAGCAUCUAAGCGCGAAGCCAACUUCAAGAUAAGAUUUCCCACCGCAAGGGUAAGACCCCAGAAAGACUAUCUGGUUGAUAGGUCGAAGGUGUAAGUGCAGCAAUGUAUUUAGCUUAUCGAUACUAAUAGGUCGAGGACUUGACCAAU